rnacentral:lncRNA from 1 species
UUGUGGAUCAGCCCAUCUGUGGCGAGGAGGGGACCGGGCUCAGCCAGGUUAGGUGACUUGCACAAGGUCAUGUGGGUGAAAGGAAGGCAGAACUCUUGUGUAUUUCUCCUGACCCCAGAUUCUGCGUCAGGGCUGAAGCCAGAACCCACACGUGUCCAGCGCAGGGUGAUUGCUGCCAUGAGCUGCAUUGCUGUGAUCCUUUGGCGAGGGCGUGGAUUUUCAUCCUUUUAUUCAAUUUUGAAAGAAGCAAAUUUAGAAAGAUACGAUAUGAUGGGUGUGGCAGACAGAAUUCUAAAGGUGGGCCCACUGAUUCGUACCCCUGGCUGUUCAGUUAAACACUAGCCUAGGUGCUGCUGUGCAGGGACUUUGACGAAGGAAUGAAAGUCCCAAGCCAUCUGACCUUGAGAUCAGAGAUUAUCUGGUGGGCUUGACCUCAUGAGCCUAAUGAAAGCAGGGAGCUUUUCCAGCUGUCAGCAGAAAAGAAGGUCAAAUUCAAUGUGUGAGAAAGGCUGGAAUUAACAUUGCUGGUUUGAAGGAGGAAGGGGUUGUGUGAGAAGGUGUGUGAGUGACUUACAGGAGCAGAGAGUGGCCCCCAGCCAUGGAAUGAGGACCCCAGGUCUGCAGUCACCAGGAGCUGGACUUUCAGGACCACCUGAAUGCACCCGGAAGCGGAUUCUCCUCCAGAGCCUCCAGUUGCUAUAAUCAACAUCCCUGGACCCAUCGCGCA